CUUUGAACUGGAUGCGCCCGCCAUGUCCAUGGAGAGAGGCUGAGGCGGCCGAGCUCUGGCUGGAGGUACCGGAGCGCCAGGACAGCAAAGAUGUCGGCUUCCUUAGUCCGGGCAACUGUCUGCGCUGUGAGCAAGAGGAAACUUCAGCCCACCUGGGCCCCCCUUACCCUGACACCUUCAGCAGUAAACAAGAUAAAACAACUUCUU
rnacentral:lncRNA from 1 species